rnacentral:tRNA from 1 species
GCAUCGGUAGCUCAGUUGGAUAGAGUAGCUGGCUACGAACCAGUUGGUCGGGAGUUCGAAUCUUCUCCGGUGCA